UUACAGGUGUGAGCCACCGCAUCAGGCCUAGAUCAUAUUUUAAAAUAAGGAACUAUUAAAAAUAUGAAUGCCAAAUUUACUUGGAUUUUUCAAAGUAAAGCAUUAAAUUAACAAGAAAUUUGUUUCAAAAUAGGAAAUUCAGCUUUCUGAUCCACCAUCUGGGAUGGAACCACGACCAAAAUGCAGAUUUUCGUAAAAGUCCUUACAGAAAAAGCACCACUCUCAAGGCUGAACCCUUGGACACAAUAGAAAAUCCAAAGGCCAAGAUCCAGAAUAAAGAAGGAAUUUCUCCUGAUCAGCAGAGACUGAUCUUUGCUGGCAAGCAACUGAAAGAUGAACAUACUCUGUCUUAACUACACAUUCAAAAGGAGUCCGCUCUUCAUCUUGUGUUGGGACUUCAUAGAAGUAGUCAUACCACUCCCAAGAAGAACAAACGUAAUAGAAAAAGAUUAAGCUGGAUGUCCUGAGAUACGAUAAGGUAGAUGACAACAGCAAAAUGAGUGGCCUUCACUAGCAGUGUCCUUCAGAUGAAUGUGGUGCUGGAGUUCUUAUGGCCAGUCACAAACAUUUGACAGACAUUAUUGUAGCAAAUAUUGUCUGACUUACUGCUUCAACAAACCAGAAGACAAGGCUCGGUGCAGUGGCUCACUUGAGUCCAGGAGUUUGAGACCAGCCUGGGCAACAUAGCAAGAUCCCAUCUCUACAAAAAAUUAAAAAGUUGCUAGGCAUGGUGGAGCGUGUCUGUGGUCCGAGCUACUUGGAAGGCUCAGGUGGGAGGAUGGCUUGAGCCCAGGAGGUCGAGGCUACCGUAAGUCAUGAUCAAGCCACCACACCCCAGCCUGCGCACAGAGCAAGACUCUGUCUUCCCAAAAACGUUUUUAAAAACAGAAGACAAGCAAUUGUGUAUGAGUUAAUAAAAGACGUGAACAACAACAAAAAGCUAAAUUCAAUGAAUGUUAAUUACAUGUCUAAGGCAAACAACAAAUGGCAAGGUUAACAAUUACCCAAGAUAUAGUUUUGAGUUAAUAUUUAAUUACAAAGAAACUGGCCGCUGUUACAUCAAAAUCAACUUCGGACACCUUUCAAAGAUCUAACGAUUAAACAAAUGGUUUCCCUAGAAGUGCAAGAACCUCAUGGCCACUGGUUUUCUAUUUGGUGGCUGGCUCGCCUAUUUAGCAGCCCUCCUCCCAAAUGUCAAUAGAAAAACUUUGUGUUUCUAGUCCAAGAUGGGACUUCCUGGCUCCAAGUGCCUUGCAUUGUUUAUUUGCUUUAUCCUAAUGUAUGUUGUGCUGUCAGCAAUGAAAAUUGCUCAGCUGGAACAAAAACCAAGAGAAAUACAACACUUUAUUUGGCAAAAGGCAGAUCCUGCCAUCCAGUGCUGCAUUUAAAUGUGCAUACAAUGGAUCUUUCACUUCACAGUACAACCAGUGUUAUGACCACUUCACAGGAGAGGACUCAGUAGGGAAAAAAGGGACAGGGACACUGGUGAGCAUAAGAACAAGUCUGUGAAAUAGGAAAGAAAACAGGAGCAGGGAAGAACAUUUGUAUAUUUAUCUAACAUUCCAAGUGCCAAGCAUUCAAUCCAAAUUCACAGAUAAUACACCAAAUCACUAAACUAUCUGAUCAUCUCUAUAACUGUAAAAAAUAAACACAGCAAAAGAAGAGAAUGGCAUAAAAAUGGAUCACUGCAUGACCCAAUUUAAUUCUUAAGUAUAAUUUAAACGAAUACAUCCACCAAUCGCUGAAGGCAUUGGUUUCCAAAACCAUUUUUCCCGUCAGCUUCAGCAUUUUUGACAUAGCCAUACAGAGAGUUGUGUAUUUACUCAAUAUUUGUAUUUUAAUUGAUUCAUUAAAAAUAAAUCAUAAACAAUGGGAUGUCUGCGCCAUCCUGAGCACUGUCUGUGAAAUUCAAGGGCUGAUGUACACAGCUCGAUGCAGCAGAUGUUAAGAGCGUGGUCUGCCUGGUUUUAUUCCCCAGCUCACUAUUCACACUGGUGGUAUGACCCUGAACAAUUCACUUAGCCUUUCUGAGCCUUACUUCCUAAUAGUCAUAAGUGAGAAUAACAGUUCUUACUUCAUACGGUCAGGUUUAAAGAUUAAAUUCAUUACGUGCAAAAGCGCUUAGAGCAGUGCAUGGCACAAUAAUCACUCAUCAAAAUGUUACUAGUUAUCAUUAUUCUUUACAAUGCUUUUUAUAAUUUUAUUGAUAGUUUUGGUUGCUUUUUAAAAAUUCUUUUGUUACUAUUACAAGUACUAAAGCUUUUUAAUAGUCCAUACCCAUGCAACAUAAAAUCAACAAGUAUACACUUGGUACAACAUUGACUUAGGGAACAAUCCUUCCUCAUUAGGUAAAAAUAAAAUGUUUCACAGUACAGAGUGUGAACAGAGGUGCUACCACCUCAAUAAAGUAUUGCUUUUUAAUCACCAAAAUGUUUACCAUGCAAAUAGUCUCUUAACCCUAGGCAUGACCCCUAAAACUGUUAAAGUCAUUUGUGUAAAAUGCUUUAAAGAAUGUAGGACAAGUAUGUGAUUUACAGCUAGAAAAGGCUUUUUUCACAGUCUUGAUUUCAAGAGUAGCCAAAUGACUUUAACAUGUUUGUUCCCCCUUUUGUCACUGUCAUCAAAACUAUUUCAAAGGACAUUUAUAAAUAUGCACUAAUAGUUUCCAAAACUCUACCUUGCCUUAGAACCCCAAGUUCCUCUCCUUUCUGAAAUAAACCAUUACAACUAUAAGCAAUUUGGAGUUUAAAAGCUAGCAAAAUAAAAUCUCAUUCACCAUAGUGGUACGAAAAGAAGUUAUUGUCUUCCUAAACAUUUAUUUCCCAAUCUGUGAGUUUACUAUCUCUGCUCAACUGUGUUUGAGAAUGUCCAAUAUUAUUGUAAUCUUUCCCUAAUUAAAACACUAAUUUCUCUUCCUAAAGUUCCUAAAAGUCUUAAAAGUCUGCUAGCAUUUGUUAAUGAGUUUAUUUUUCAUUUACUUAAACCUUGAACCAGAAACGUUGGAGAGCCUUUAUUAUUCAAUCAAUGGUAAUUAAUGCAAUGAUUCUAUGACAGUAUUCAUACAUCAAAGAGACAAAAGGAAACACCAGCAACAUUGUAUUCUUAGGACCACACAAGCUCUUGGAGAGCUCCUGAGCCCGCACCAAGGCUGCAAGAUCAUUCUGCCUCAUCCUCUAUUUCUUCCCUGCUACCAGGGAUCCCCAAGAGCAGGGGUGCCCAACCACUAAUAGUGGUCUGUGGCCUGUUAGGAACCGGGCUGCACAGCAGGAGAUGAACAGUGGGCAAGCCAGCAUUACUGCCUGAGCUCCGCCUCCUGUCAGAUCAGCAGCCGCAUUAGAUUCCUAAUCAGCAGCGAACCCUAUCGUGAAGAGGGAUGUAGGCAUUCCUUAUGAGAAUCUAACUAAUGCCUGAUGAUCUGAGGGGAAACAGUUUCAUUCUGAAACAGUCUCCCUCACCCCCAGUCCGUGGAAAAAUUGUCUUCCACAAAACCAGUCCCUGGUGCCAAAACGGUUGGAACCACUGACCUAGAGCUCACACAUCUCAGACGCUAUCUUCACAACAUUCACCCAUUCUGGGAGCAGACAGAACUAGAAUAAUUAGAUGAAUUACAAAUAAAGUUUGGAAAUCUCAAAGUGGUGGCAACUGGGAAUCCAGGGUAUAAAUCAUCAUUUAAAACAAGUCUUAGAAAAAGAUCAGCCAUAAACUAAUCAAUUAUAUUAUAAUUUCAGGCACGUUUAAAUGGUAUUUUUAUCAUCUGAGUAUUCAUGUAAUACAUGUAAACAGGUAAUGAAUUCAUAUAACUUUUGGACUUGUCUAUAAACUGGUACUUGUAUGACUAAAUGGCUAUUUUUCAACAAUAGCCCUUAGUUGCAAUAGAUUACAUUUUUUCCUAAUUGAUUUAAAUAUUGUCUUGCUCAAAAAGGAUGCAAAGGAGUUGAUAUCACAACACAGCAAGAUAAAACUAAUGAGAAAAUAAGGCAAAGAUGAAAUAACGAUGUGAUAAAAUCCAAUAUAUCCUAUAAAAGUGACCCUUCCGUCUUUUUAAAUCGCUGAGGAACAGAAAUUCUUGCUGGCAGAAGUAGCUAUAAGGCCAC